UUGGCGGACGGGUGAGUAACGCGUGAGGAACCUGCCUUUCAGUGGGGGACAACAGUUGGAAACGACUGCUAAUACCGCAUAACGUACUGGUAUCGCAUGGUACUGGUACCAAAGAUUUAUCGCUGAGAGAUGGCCUCGCGUCUGAUUAGCUAGUUGGUAGGGUAACGGCCUACCAAGGCGACGAUCAGUAGCCGGACUGAGAGGUUGGCCGGCCACAUUGGGACUGAGAUACGGCCCAGACUCCUACGGAAGGCAGCAG
rnacentral:rRNA from 1 species